rnacentral:rRNA from 1 species
GACGAACGCUGGCGGCGUGCUUAACACAUGCAAGUCGAACGGAAAGGCCCUGCUUUUGCGGGGUGCUCGAGUGGCGAACGGGUGAGUAACACGUGAGUAACCUGCCCUUGACUUUGGGAUAACUUCAGGAAACUGGGGCUAAUACCGGAUAGGAGCUCCUGCUGCAUGGUGGGGGUUGGAAAGUUUCGGCGGUUGGGGAUGGACUCGGGGCUUAUCAGCUUGUGGGGGGGGUAGUGGCUUACCAAGGCUUUGACGGGUAGCCGGCCUGGGAGGGUGACCGGCCCCAUGGGGGUUGGGUAGCGGCCAGGGCCCCACAGGGGGGAAGGGGGGGGGAAUUUUUCCAAAGGGGCCGAGGGUUGGAGGAGCAUCGCCGGAUGGGGGAGGACGUCAUUGGGGUUGUAACCCGCUUUCGCUUGUGACGAGCCGUGUGUACGUUAACUGGGGAAAAAAGCCCGGCCAACUUCGUG